rnacentral:rRNA from 1 species
ACACGUAGGGGGCGAGCGUUGUUCGGAAUCAUUGGGCGUAAAGGGCGCGCAGGCGGCUAGGCAAGUCCGGGGUGAAAGCCCUCGGCUCAACUGCGGGAUGCGCUGGCAACUGUCCUGCUUGAGGACAGGCGGGGACGUCGGAAUUCCAGUUGGUGGCGGGAAAUCUGUAGAUAUCGGGAGGAACACCGGUGGCGACGGCGGACGUCUGGCCAUGUACUGACGCUGAGGCGCGAAGGUGCGGGGAGCGAACAGGUUUAGAUACCCUGGUAGUCCGCACAGUAAACGAUGUGCACCAGGUGGCGGGGGGUAGCCCUCGGUACCGAAGCCAACGCAUUAAGUGCACCGCCUGGGGAGUAUGCUCGCAAGGGUGAAACUCAAAGGAAUGGACGGGG